AACGAACGCUGGCGGCGUGCCUAACACAUGCAAGUCGGACGGAUUCAUUUUAAAGUAGCAAUACGGAGAGAUGAGUUAGUGGCGGACGGGUGAGUAACACGUAGGUAACCUGCCCACGAGAAGGGGACAACCCAGGGAAACUUGGGCUAAUACCCUAUAAGACCACGUGCUGGGAAGCAUGCGGUAAAAGGUAGCAAUACGCUCAUGGAUGGGCCUGCGGCCUAUCAGGUAGUUGGUGAGGUAAAAGCUCACCAAGCCAAAGACGGGUAGCCGGGCUGAGAGGUUGAACGGCCACACUGGAACUGAGAUACGGUCCAGACUCCUACGGGAGGCAGCAGUGGGGAAUAUUGCACAAUGGGGGAAACCCUGAUGCAGCGACGCCGCGUGGAGGAUGAAGGCCUUCGGGUUGUAAACUCCUUUUGUAGGG
rnacentral:rRNA from 1 species